AGGUUUGCAGUUCUGCGGGCUGCUGGCUGGCGCGCCUCUGCUGACCUGGCGACUGCGCAGCCGGUCGGAGGACUGACACUGUGACCGUGUUCCCUGAGGAGCGCGGCCAGUACGCCCGGGCGUCCGGACGCGGAGCAACCCAUCAGCUUAGCCAGCCCCGGUCUCCCCCGGCGGCACCACGCUGCCCCUCCGCGGCGACGGGUCGGCAGGUGACACCCUUGCCCUCUGGCGCCUCAGCGGCGUGCUGGCAGCCGGCGGCGGGGAUUAGUGGGAUGUUACCUAACCCGGCAACCGGCGGCCGCGGGCGGGAGAGCCGGAGCCGGCGCCCAGGGGCGCGGGCGCUGCCUUCUCCGUCUGCGUCUCCGUCUCCGUGCGCCCGCGUGCCCCAGCGGCGUCCGCUCCUCCAGCCCGGGUCCCAGAGACCCCUCGGCCUCAGACUCGCUUGAAGCUGAAACUCCCCCACAUUCUUCAUGAACUGCGGGUGCGGAGACACGUGCCGUCGGGCAGAGUCUGAGGAAAUCGCUCCCACGCGGGGAGACAGCAAACCUCAGUGUGAGAGGAAAAGCGGACACUGAGACCCCGGAGACACGGACCCCGAGCCUGGUUCCUCCACCUUAGCGAGCGCGGCAUCAGCCACCCAGCGAUGCCGUCUAUCGCAGGCGGCCGCCCGGCCGGUGCGGGCAAGAAACUCCCGACCACCCCACCUGCAGCCCAAGGCCGUGCUUCCCUCUCCCUUCCACCACAGCGCCCUGCUCGUUACAUCCUCGGCGAGGAGGCUUCAAACAUCCCCUGGGAGGCGGCCCUGGAGCCCCCGUGCGGGGCCCAGAAGGAGGCCGGCCCUCAUGGAGCGGAGCCUCAGCCCCUGUCUCCCCUGACGCGCCCCUGCCGUCUCAGACCUUUCCGCGGUCCUGGUCCUUCCGUGCGGUCUGAACGGCCAGAGAGAGCGCUCCCUCCGCUGGGAAACCUCACCACAUGAUGCCCAGGGAGCCAGGCCGAGUCUCAGCCGCUCCGUGCCGACGGGGCCAGCCUCCAGGCUCUCGUGAGCGUGUGCGUGCGCCGCGGUGCGAACGACACGCCGAGAAAACUGUUCGAAUAGUCUGUGACCUGUACGUGCUCCAAAAACGGGGAGACGGAAUUAGUGACAAAACCACUGAUCCCCAGGAGACAGAGGCCUUGGCUUUCCGGCUGCUCAGAGGUUUGGACAGCAGGGAAGGAGAGGGGCCAGCUUCUGCGCUGUGGCUGCUGGCGAUCGGCAUUCACCCUGGACUGCAUGGCCCCCCCCCAGCUGUGCGGAGUGGGGGGCACCCCCGCCGGCCCCUGCCAUGGGCUGGUGUUGUAACGAUCAUGGUCUGCACAGCGCUUAACGCCAUCUUAAGAGUGCAGUUCCGCUGAGAGCACGGGAGGAUUGGCCUUAGAAAAGCUACCGGUGUGUUUGCUUGUGCUGUCGAUAGAAGCUACCCCCUUAGCCUCUGGGAUGUUGCAAUGCGUGAUCUGCCCCUGGAUGACGCUCUGAGUCUUUUCCGCCAAUUUCGUGUACGUUGCAUAGCCAGAAAGAAGGCAGGCUCUGCUGCCACUCCUGCGGAUGAUACAAUGUAUCACCAGAGCUGCUACAGUCGCAGGGGCUGCGACUCCUGGGUGGUUCCCUGCGGCCAAGCAAGCGCUUAAAACCCAGUGGGAGGUCCUGCAUCAGGACCUUUUAGCGUCCGAAUGAUGGGCGCCCCUUUUACGUACACUUUGUUUUCAGUCUUUUUCUUUGAAUACAAUGUGUGAGGACAACAGGAAGCGAGAUUUGGACGCCAGGUCCGUCGCUGCGGGAGCCUGGGGCAGUGGCUGGCUGGGGACCUCAGGCCCCCGCCUGGACAAUGAGGAGCUCCGAGACCCCCCCCUACUCCCCCCCUGCCCCCCGCUGUAGAAACUGCCUGGCGAACAGGACAGGCAGACAAGAAAAAAAUA